rnacentral:lncRNA from 1 species
UUGUCAUUGCGUAAGGUUGAAUAUAGUAAAACGAAAGAAAACCACAAAACCAGAAAAACUCUGGAUCACAACCGUCAGGGAUACUGAUUCAUUUUCCUUGAAACAUUGUUAAAGAAAUUAAGCUUAUAUUACGUGGAGAAAACAACUUGGUGUACGUUACCGUGAUGGCGUGGGUCCGGUUUGUGCUUAUUGUCGUGUGUCUUGUAUGCUCAACUUCUGAUGCAAGAACAUUGGGUAGAUUUUUUAGUGGAAAUGACUUCCAGUCUGAUUUGGAGAGAAAGAUUUUGCGAAUGUUCGAUGGCCAUGAAACAAACUAUCCUAACACGAACGUUGAUGGUCUGGCAGAAAGUCAAAAGGAAGAAAGUCCCGUGCCAUUUGUGGAGUACAAAUCUGUAAGCAAUGGCGUUCUUCCACCUUAUGCUGUCAGGAGAACACGUCGAUCAAAAAGAACUGACCAAUUAACUUUAGAGGAAUCUCUCCUACGUGUACUUGACAAGCUUGACAAACUCUACGAAGAUGUAGACGUAGGUAUACCUACUCUACGAGUAGGUAGAAAAUAAAUUUUCAUGAACUCCUUGGAAUACAACAUUGGUCAUAUAAGUUAUAUCAAGGUGCCUCCAUGUUAUACUAGUAACAAACGUAUCUGAUCGAAAAAGUAGUAACACGGGCCAUUUCUAGAGACAGCCAAACAGCCACCAUCACGUUAAACAAAUCUUACAACAAACCACAUGGGUUGCCAAUGUUGCUGGAUACCACUUACUUUAACAAUAAAAAUAUAAACCUCAUUUAGAAAAGGAUAGCUAACACAAUGUUUUGAUAAGUUCAUUAAUGUCAGUAGGGUUCAACAUGAAGUUAAAUAUGAUGAAAUGAUAAUGUCAUAUGAUUGUGUUGGAAAAUCCCAGUGCCAUUUGAAAAUCAGGCAGGACAGUCGGGAGUAUGUUUAAGCUUUCUGCUAGAUCGUUUCUUAAAUAUUGUUGUUAAGGUGAGUGCGUGUGUGAAAAAAAAUGUGUGUGUGUGGGACAUGCGCGUAUAGAUGGCCAUUUAAUUUUACGUUCCCGGUUAGCCACAUGUACGUUUGAAUGACACUAUUGAAUGGUGGACUAUAGGGUACAUUGUCAACUAUUACUCAACCAUAAAUAUUGAUUGGUAAAACGUAUUGCACUAAAUAAAGUUAUGGAUAAAUGUUAACAAUCUUACAAUAUAUUUUUAGAAUUUAGGCCUAUAUUAUUCAAAAUAUUUUUUAAAAACAGACACUAGAUUUUUUUUUUUUUAAGAUUUUGGGACGUCAGACUUGGCGACAAAAUUGUUUUAAAGGGUUAUGCUUAUUAAGUGUCUUUUUAAAUACGUUAAUGUUUUAAGAAUAUUCCUAUGAAUAUGACUUCUUUUCUAAUUCAUAUGUAUUAUUUUAUUAUAAAAACUAUAGGUCUAAGUCUAUACGUCAUCAGAAAAUGUUGAUUACCUGUAUUUUGUUUUCUAAAUGCCACUCACAGAUGGGUCGAUUACUUGAAUUAUUUUCUAUUUAAUAAUAAUACACAUUUCUAAAGCGCCUAUUAAAGCAAAACAACUUGUCAUGGGCGCAUAGUAGUAACGAACAAAGUCACUAUGAUGUAAUUACUGGAGGGUUUUAACAAGUGCUAUUCUAUAUCAUUUUAUUUUUCGAGAUGAAAGUGAAAAUUGGAGAAUAUAUUGAAUAAAUUCAAGUUAGCUGUAAUUCAGGGAUAAUAUGUUGGUUUUAUUGUUUUGAAUAUAACCAAUAUAAGUGGAUGUAAACUUACUUAAGUAUUUCUUUGACUAUAUACAUAUAUAUUUAAUGUUGUAAUAUUUUAUUUUAAGUAAUUAUGUAAAUAAAAUACAAUAAUAGUUGAAUACAAUAAAAGUGAUCACUCACGGA